AGGAUGAACGCUGGCGGCGUGCCUAAUGCAUGCAAGUCGCACGGUCGGGCUUCGGCCCGGUAGUGGCGAACGGCUGAGGAACACGUACGAACCUACUCCUGUGUGGGGGACAACUCGGCGAAAGCCGCGCUAAUCCCGCAUACGCUCUUCGGAGGAAAGCGUUAGUGAUAACGCGCACAGGAUUGGGCGUGCGGCCCAUCAGGUAGUUGGUGAGGUAAUGGCCCACCAAGCCGGUGACGGGUCGCUGGUCUGAGAGGACGACCAGCCCAGACUGGGACUGUGACACGGCCCAGACUCCUACGGGAGGCAGCAGCAAGGAAUUUUCGGCAAUGGGCGCAAGCCUGACCGAGCAACGCCGCGUGGAGGAUGACGGCUUUCGGGUUGUAAACUCCUUUUGCCAGGGAAGAGUACGGACGGUACCUGGCGAAUAAGCCCCGGCUAACUCUGCGCCAGCAGCCGC
rnacentral:rRNA from 1 species